ensembl:lncRNA
CUCUCUCUCUCUCGUGCUUAAUAAUCUGUUGCCUUCUCACUUUGGUUUGGUGCUCUGAGGAACUGCUUUACGUGGGGUUUUGUCACCUUAAUUAAAGAGAUUUGGACACUUCAGCUUUAUUGCUUCCUCCUUGUUAUCUUCACUUAGAGCCAGCAGUUGCUCCUGUUUUGCUUGAAGGAGCAGUGCUGGUCAUAGGCAGUAUCAAAAGUAGCAGACACAGGGAAGCACUUAUAUAUGCUUAAGUUUAAGGUUAAAUCACACUGAUUUCAAGGAGCACUACCAUGAAAACCCUGUUCCAUGUCAGACUCAUAUCCUGAUUAUGAGACCUAACAGAGGUGAUGGGAGAAGCUGACCUAUCUGUUUCUAGCUGUCCUCUGAGAAUGAGCAUUACUCACAUUUGAACACGGGGUACAUCCCAAACUGACCCAGCUGUGGGUUUGGGUGCAGUGCAAAUGCCCUUUGCUAAUACUGCAGUUUGGCCUUUCCCACAGCUGGAGCUCGUUUUAAUUUAUUUCCCCGAAUUUUAACGUGCUGAAUCCCUAUUCAGCUUUGAUCGCUACAUCAAAGAUGUGAGAGAAGAUCCCAGUCAGGAGUGCUCGUUUCCAAUUCAAGCUCAGGACAAAUGAGAGGGAUUUCCAACGAAGUUAAUGACAGCAGGAACCACAGGCACCAAAGAUGCCACUGAGCCUCACGCUGCAGCGAGCUCUGAGGCUUUUCGUAUCCGCUGCAGCAGGGCGGAUGGGGAUACUUCUGUGCCUGUGUGUUUGUGCUCUUCUCCAGUUCUCUAAUUUAUUUAGCAAGCUCUGGUUUCCCUGGUUCCUCCAACCAAAGAAAUCCACCAGUUGCCCUGUGGGACCGGCACUGAUGUCAUGACUGUGGGCGCUGGGGGUUAGACUGCCUUUGCUCGGCGCUGAGAUCAUGAAAUGGUGUAAUUCCCUCCUGUGGUUGCUUGGUGUGCGCCUCUGUGCCAUCACUGGCGAAGAAUCUGGGUCCCUUCUCAGGAUAAAACCGUGUUUUAAUUGAAUUAGGCUAUGUCAGAGCAUCCCAGCCAUCUUAUCGUACCACUCCAGUCCCUCCCAAAGCAGCUAACCGAGUGAUUCCAGCUCACGCUCCCAAGGACAAGGGACAAAAAUGAUUUUCUCCCUCUUUUAUGGAGUGAAGUUUUGGUACUUCAGUUUUUCAGAGCUGAUUUUCUGCAUUCAGAAGCUGCUGACAGUGAAGAGCCAGGUGAAGAGCGGGACACAGAAAUUCACGCCAACCACAGACCCUCUUAACCUCUUUCAAUGCUUUUUGCUUCCUAGUGCUGCCAGAAUGUCACAGCUCCAGCUUAUUUCUUCCUUUCGUUUGCACCUUUUUGCAUAGAUCUGCAGUUGCAGAGCACGAUGUUUUGCUGUGCCCCUGCAAACAGCGAUCAGUUUACCCAAAGACCAUAUGACCAGUGCUCAUUUAUCUGGGAGCAGAGGGGAAGAUGAAGGUGGGCAAAGCAUCCUUGUUUGCUCGUGUCCCUUCCAACUGCUUUCAAAGCCUCUGCUGACGUUUCUGUGGUGGGAUACUGACCAGGAG